UACGAAUUAUAUUAUGUUUGUCGUUGUUUAUUGUUUAGGUUAUUUGAAGUAUCAUUUUGUUUUUGUAUGUCAUUGAUUCAAUUUCUUUCUUUGUAGUUUAUUAGUACCGUGAGGGGAUUAUUGUUUUGUUUUUGUAAGUAGGUCUUGUUUGCUGUACCUUGUGUAUCAGGGUUUACUAAUUUCUAUUAUUUAUUUUUUAUUUCCCGAUUUCAGAGGAGUUAAAUAAUUAUUCGGUUUGUUGUGUCAUCAACAUUUGUGAUAUUUAUUUGGUAGUGAUAUGUUAAUCGCCUCUGGUGGUAUCUGGUUUCUUGAGAAAUGAAUUUAAUUCACACUUCAUGUGUUAAUUAUCAUUUUUGUUUGUUUUAUUUUACCUGGGGUGAAGGUGUUGAAGGAUAAGCUUUAAUUCUUUUUUAUAAUUUUUCUUUAUGAGUUGUUUUGUGGGCUUUAUGAUGGCUAUCUAUUUGAGUAUGUUAAAAUUUUACUUCCUUUUUACUUGAUUUGAUUUUGUAUUUAAUUGUCUAUUAAGAUGUUCGGUUGAGUUUUUUAUCUGUUGUAAUUAUGGUUGAAUUAGUAUAUUGUUUUUAUUUGGUUAUUUGUUGUUAGUUUCUUCAGAGGAAUUAGGCAAUAGCUUUGGUUCUCGCCUGUUUAACAAAAACAUCUCUUCUCGUUUUUUAUUUGAAGUAUGGCCUGCCCACUGAUUUAUUGAAGGGCCGCGGUAUUUUGACCGUGCAAAGGUAGCAUAAUCAUUAGUUUAUUAAUUGUGAACUGGAAUGAAUGGCUUGACGAGGGACCACCUGUCUUUGUUGGGAUAAAUUGUUGAAUUUGAUUUUUGGGUAAAAAUGCCUAAAUUUUGUUAUGGGACGAGAAGACCCUAUAGAGUUUGAUACAGCAUUUCUUUUUAUGGUUUGUUUAGUUCUUGUUUGAUUGGAUGUUGUAUUUUGUUGGGGUGAUGGGAGAAUAUAAUUAACUUCUCUUUUGAUUUGUUCAUUUAUUUAUGUUUUCAUGAUCCUUUAUUAUUGAUUAUAAGAUUAAAUUACCUUAGGGAUAACAGCGUAAUCUUUUUUGAGAGUUCAUAUUGAUAAAAGGGGUUGCGACCUCGAUGUUGGAUUAAGAUGAAUUUUUGGUGCAGAGGCUUUAUUAAUUGUAUUAGGUCUGUUCGACCUUUAAAAUCUUACAUGAUCUGAGUUCAAACCGGCGUGAGCCAGGUUGGUUUCUAUCUAUAAUUUUCUUUAAUUUCUUAGUACGAGAGGACCAGAUAUUGGGAAUAAUUCUUUUUUCAUGAAUUCUAUUAAUUU
rnacentral:rRNA from 1 species